ACUUGGUGGUUUAGUGGUAGAAUUCCCGCCUUCCAUGUGGGAGACCUGGGUUUGACUCCCUGUCCACGUU
rnacentral:tRNA from 1 species